CCUACGGGUGGCAGCAGUGGGGAAUAUUGCACAAUGGGCGAAAGCCUGAUCCAGCAACGUCGCGUGAAGGAAUAAGGGCUUCGGCUUGUAAACUUCUUUCAACAGGGACGAAAGAAAUGACGGUACUCGCAUCAGAAGCAGCGGCUAACUACGAGCCAGCAGCCGCGGCAAUACGGAGGGGGCAAGCGGUAUCCGGAAUUACUGGGUGUAAAGGGUGAGUAGGCGGUAUGGUAAGCCCGAUGUGAAAGCCUUGGGCUUAACCCGAGGCUGGCAGUUGGAACUCGCAAGCUAGAGGACAGGAGAGGAAAGCGGAAUUCGUAGUGUAGCGGUGAAAUGCGUAGAUAUUAGGAAGAACACCAGUGGCGAAGGCGGCUUUCUGGACUGAAACUGACGCUGAGGCACGAAAGCGUGGGGAGCGAACAGGAUUAGAUACCCGAGUAGUC
rnacentral:rRNA from 1 species